ACGGUGCAGCCCUAUGAGCAAAACCCGGGCAAGGGUGACAAGAUGGCAACUCGCACGGGCAUGAGUCGAGAACCAAGGGGACAGAGACGACGCUGGAGGGGGGCGGAAGGGGCCCACAGGUUGGGACGUGAAGCCCACCCUCUCUUCCGUUCCUGGCCCCCCGUCUCCCACCUUCUUUUCCCAAGGAAGUUCGGGCACCACACAACGGUUUGGAUGAAGUGACCUAGCUUAGGACUCGUCAAUCAGAAUGUCCUGCCUCCCACAGCACAGCCUGCAGUGGUUUCCCUACAGGUAAUCUGGGCUGAAGAGGAGGAAGGACGACUGGACAGCGAGGAUCUGACGUGAGGACUGCGGUGUUUGCCAGAGUUCCUCUAAGAAGAGUCCUAUGACCCACACACGAGCUUCAGGGGAGUGCUCCCCCCGGCGGGAGGAGCCUGCGCCAACAACGCCC